UUGAGGCCAGGCCUCAGAGAAGGGUGUCCCAGAUGUAGGCAAAGCGUCCUCCAUGUGUUCCUGGAGGACCGUCCCAAGUCCUUCUCCAUUCUCCCAACCUCUUGGGCCUGGUCCCAUUCCAGGUCUUGCCCAAGUCUUUCUGAUUGGUGGGACUUAAAUCACACCCAAAAUUCCAGCUGCAGGAGAGCUCUGAGAUUUCAUCUUUCCAACCUCUGUGUGCUACGUGGGGGUUGGAGCACUUGCUGACAAGCCUUGCAACCACCAUUGACAGGAUGUCCUCCACCUUUUCAAUCUGAUUUGCUCUUUGCCAUGCAGACCUGUGGAUGAAGAGCCAGAGUCCUCCAAGGUGAAGCUGGACUGAAUAUUUCUGUCCAUAAGACUAUUAGAAUCCCCCAAAGUGGGAUACCAGUGAGGACCUCACCAGCAGCUGCUGUCUCUCCAAUGCAGCUCCACAGGGCCUGUGAGCAGGGCUGGCUAUGAGAUCCUGCCCUGAAGAGCAGUACUGGGCUGCUCUGCUAGGCACCUGCAUGUCCUGCAAAGCCAUCUGCAACCAUCAGAGCCAGCGCACCUGUGCAGCCUCCUGCGCUCUGCUGACAAGCUCAAUCACGGUGUCAUUUUACUGCCACCACGCCCGAAAGUACACCAAAUGUAAAGCAGAGGCAGACGAGACAAGAUGCAGGCUCCACCAGAGGCCACUCCAGCUUCGCGAC
ensembl:lncRNA CCDC144NL-AS1 CCDC144NL antisense RNA 1